AGAUGCAAAAGGUAUGCUCAUCAAGUAGCAACUAGAAUUUCAAUCCCCUUUGUCUUGAUACUGCCACUUUUACUGGAUUUUGGGUAUAAAUUAACAAUUUCCAUUUAUUGUUGAAUUACAAGGGGUUGAAAAUAAUACAUAUUUGUUAUAUUUGAAUUAGAUGUGAUAUUUUCCCUCAUUUCUAAGCAUAACCAUUUAUUGAAUGACUAGUUACUGCUUAUUUGCAGCUCAAUUAAUCCAUUUGUCAAUGAUUCAUAUAUCAUAAAGCUAAUACUGUGGAUUGUUAGUUGCUCUUUUACCCCAUUUGGAAACCAUAAUGAUAUUGGUUAUUUAACAUUUAGAAUUGAGGCUAUGCUGCUGUUUUAGUGAAGCUCUGUUUCCCUUCUAUAUUUGAGAGGCUCUUGCCCUGUCCUUAGCUCAAUUUAUGUGCUAGCACUUCAGUUGGGGAGACUCCAUUGAUGAUGUGAGAUUAUCUUAUUGAGUCAUGCCAUGCUGUAUAAGUUUAAUACAGUUCAUGCCUUUUGUGUUUAAAAGCACAAAACUGUAUGCUAUGCCAUUCAUUUUGUUGCCAUUAUGGGCCAAAUUUGGAUAAUUACAAUUUUAUUUUGUGCAAAAUGCUUGUAUGAUCCUUGUUCUUCUAUUUUGCAGUAGUUAAUUUUGACUUGAGAAUGUUAAUUUUGUCUUCUUAUGGGUAAUCCUUAUUGUGUGAUUUUUAUUUCAUGGCUUUUAGCCCUCUUCUUCUAACUAAAUGUGGUCUGAAUCUUGUCAGUUAUAAAGAAGCGGAGGAA
rnacentral:misc_RNA from 1 species